UACCAGCACCCCGAGUGGUCGGACGUUUAUUGGGCCUAAAGCAUCCGUAGCCGGUUCUACAAGUCUUCCGUUAAAUCCACCUGCUUAACAGAUGGGCUGCGGAAGAUACUAUAGAGCUAGGAGGCGGGAGAGGCAAGCGGUACUCGAUGGGUAGGGGUAAAAAUCCGUUGAUCCAUUGAAGACCACCAGUGGCGAAGGCGGCUUGCCAGAACGCGCUCGACGGUGAGGGAUGAAAGCUGGGGGGAGCAAACCGG
rnacentral:rRNA from 1 species